UUACUUCGUCGAAAUGAUGUUUCACGUGC
rnacentral:sRNA from 1 species